AAUACAAAAAAUUCUCUCUGCUGCGUUGUUUUCGUCUUCUUUGCAGGUAAGGAGGCUAGCUGGCGUAAGGAGGUGGUGGAUGUGGCACAGCACACGCGGGGAAGGCCUUGGUGGCUGCGGCGCCGGAAGGAGGGCUGUUGCAGCUAGGGUUUUCUGAUUUUUUUUUUGUUUUGGGCUAGGGUUGUGUUGAUAGUUGUAUUGGGCUAGGUUUUUGGGCUGGGUGUAGUUGGACUAGAUGCAUCUGACUUUGGGUUUGUACCGGGUCACUGUAAAUGGGUUUGGUUUUUAUUGUUAUUGGGCUGUGAACUAUUUGAGUUUUAAUUAAUUUUUAUUUAUUUGGUUUUUUAUUGUGGGCUGGGCAAAUUGGGUAUUACAAUCAGCUAAUUAGGAAAGACUGUGAUGAUAGUCACACCUUACAUCCAAAAGCAAAGCUUUUUACAUGUGUAUGUGAGGUUGCUAAGCAAAUCUGAUGAGCCUUCACUGAUGUUUUAAGGUUAAGUUAAUGUUCCUUUUCGGCAAAGAACAUUAUCGAGAUCACGGUAUUUUGAUCGCCUUUUGCUUGUUAUGUUAUUUGUUCUGAAACGAUUGCAUAAUCUUUACUGUGAUUGCAGGAUAUAGAGCAACUUCUGAAUUUCAUUGGUGUAAAGAGUUGAGGACCACGACAUGUUCUUGCAAAUUUGAAGGAGCUUCUAAGGUCUGUCCGGUCUUCAGAAUAUAUAGAUACCUGAAUUAAUUUUGAUUUUGUAGGAUCAACUAUAAUUAGCUACUUAUUACACUAUGAAUAGACAACCUCACCUUCUUCACACACUACACGUGCGGAUUUUUUACCAAUCCCAUUUCAAAGGAUCACACUUUUUUGUUGUUUACAGAAUCAUAAUUAAUGUUAAUUAAAGUGGAAUAUUUCAGAUUUCUGAUGAUGAGCAUAUUCUUGAGUAUUGCAGUAAAAAAAUGGGUG
rnacentral:lncRNA from 1 species